UUCAUUCCCAUUCAUUUGGCACUGCAAUCAGUGCACAUCCUGUCCAUUUAAUAAAAUGUAAAUAUUUGUAAUCCUCUGUUAAAGACUAAAACAUGAACAUGAGCCAACUCCCACUGUCCUCCUUUACAGUCUCAAAGCUCAUUCCAGAUAAGAUCCACAGGGCUCAGGACUUCCCCUUUGUCAUAUUAACUCAGCUCUGCAUCAGAAAAGGCUGCCGGGCCCCAGUUGGUGAUCAGCUUCUGUCCCUUCGAACCUGGAGAAAAAAUUCAAGAGAUUAUUCACCUUGGAGAGUUUCAUACCAGUUGGACGUGCCUAGAAAAUCUCCAAUGCAAGGCACCCAGGAAAAAUCCUGAUCAGAGGCCAAACCACCUCAACUGGUUCCUUUUUGAGGAGCUUCCUCCGGAUGUCUCAGCUCCUUGCCCAAUCAUCCUUUUCUGGAUUAGGAAAAUGCAGCUAUUGUGUGGGUGCAGUUAAUUGACCUUGUUAAACUGGCUGAUCGUGGUGGUAAAGCUACUCCUGAAUUUCUGUGGUGUAUGUAACACAUCUAUCUAGGGCUGGGUGAUAUGGAAUUUUUUAUCCUGAUAACAGUUUUGGCCAUAUCAGUCGACAUCGAUAUUUAUCAUGAUGCCACACUGUUUUUUUCUUUCAGGUUUAAGGGCUGAUUUUGGCUCCUGAGUGAAAGUUGAAGAAACCAGACAGUCAACUGGUUUUAAACUGUUCUAUUUAGUCAAAACAUGACCAAACACUUGCCAAACAGCAGAACAUUAAAAACUCUGAGGUACAGACAUUCAGAAUUUGAUCAAAUAUACCUGAUUAAAAUCAAAAUCUUAUUCAGUCCUUUUUACUCAAAGUAAAUAGAAUUAAGUUCUGCAGUGUGAUACAUCACACAUGAAACAUGAUCAGACUGCAAAAUUAAUAAAAAAUAAAUAGAAGAUUUGCACAGGGUACAGGCCUGGCGCUCGUCGAGGGUCCUCUAAGACUCGUUUGAACCUGUAAUGGAACAGGUUUGUGGUGUUGCCUGUCUUUGAUGGAACGUGUCUCCGACAGUGCGCACUGCACAUUGCUCUGUUUUUUGUCAGACUGUAAACGGCCCAAACAUCUCCAAACUACUAAAGUUGAGUGUCCUCUCUCGUCGACGAUAUCUUCGUUCUCCGAGCUGCGUUCUGCUUUUUCUGCAGUCUCGCUCAUUUUGCCUUAUUUGUUUACUCCUCUCCAACUUCCAGCCUGUCGUCCUCUGCGUGCGUCUGUAAAUAAUAUCACGUGCUGGCCUGUAUGUAUACCUCUCACCGUGCAUCCUAACUUGCACAGUACAGACCUCUAUUCCUGCGACAUGAUUGGCCGGUCGUUAUUCAUUUGUGGGCGUGCUAUAAGCAUGGAAAUGAAUUAUAUCGAACAUUUAUCUAACAUUUUUUACAUUUCUAUCGAGGAAAAUAAUUUUGCGAUAAUUAUCGCUAUCGUUUUAUCGCCCAGCCCUACAUCUAUCCAUAGAAGAACCAGAUUCAGGGAGUGUCUGUCUUAAAAACAUCAUCAACAACAUUAAUAUUUUAGGUUCUUUGAGGAUUAUUUUUGCCAUAAGAGACAUUUUUGUUUCCAACCCACAGGAAAGGCAGACUCGACUGGACUGGAAUACUGGACAUGAAUAGUCUCAAAAAUUGGAUUUCAAACAAUCAAAAUUUUAAGAAUUACAAGUUUAACCAAAUCUAAUUCUAACCUUAAUACUGAGUUCUAAACCCAGUGUGG